rnacentral:rRNA from 1 species
CAAUAGCGUAUAUUAAAGUUGUUGCAGUUAAAAAGCUCGUAGUUGGAUUUCUGGUCGGAAGCUCCUGUCCUCUGAUGAGCGUACAAGUGCGUCCUACCAUCCUUCUGUUAACCUUUAAGGCUUUCGCGGCUUUCUAGGGGCUCAGAUAUUUUACCUUGAGAAAAUUAGAGUGUUUCAGGCAGGCUAGCGCCGGAAUACAUUAGCAUGGAAUAAUGGAAUAGGACUUUUGCCUCUCCUGUUGGUCAUGAGGCUCGAGUAAUGAUUAAUAGGGAUAGUUGGGGGCAUUAGUACUUAACUGUCAGAGGUGAAAUUCUCGGAUUUGUUAAAGACUAACUUAUGCGAAAGCAUUUGCCAAGGAUGUUUUCAUUAA